rnacentral:rRNA from 1 species
GUAGUCUCGCACAGAUGCAUAUCAAUAAGCGGAGGAAAAGAAACUAACAAGGAUUCCCCUAGUAACGGCGAGUGAAGCGGGAAGAGCUCAAAUUUGAAAUCUUAAAGGGUUUCCCUUUACGAAUUGUAGUUUAAAGAAGUGUUUUCUGUUGAGGUUUUGGUAAAAGUUCUUUGGAAUAGGACAUCAUAGAGGGUGAGAAUCCCGUAUUUGACCUUUACUUUCAACUUUGUGAUACACUUUCAAAGAGUCGGAUUGUUUGGGAAUGCAGUCCAAAAUGGGUGGUAAAUUUCAUCUAAAGCUAAAUAUUGGCGAGAGACCGAUAGCGAACAAGUACCGUGAGGGAAAGAUGAAAAGAACUUUGAAAAGAGAGCUAAACAGUACGUGAAAUUGUCAAAAGGGAAGCGUUUGACACCAGUGUUGUUUUUCUGAAAAUCAAUUAAAGAACUGUUUAUGCUAAGCUGUUUAGACUUUAUCAGCUAUCUGUUUAGUUUUGAGCUUUUCUUUAAUGCACUUUUCAGUUAACAAGUCAACGUCAAUUUCUUUUGCUGUAAAAAAGCUUGAGGAAGGUGGCUUGAGAUUCGUCUUAAGUGUUUAUAGCCUCUUGCCUAUGCAGUCGGAGAGAUUGAGGUCUGCAGCGUAGAUCCUUCGGGGCUAAAUGCAUUUGUGCUAAGUUAUAGCAUUUUAUAGACAACUUGUUGACUAUGAUUUGUCUUGUAGCUUACUCGCUUAUGUUAUUUUACCUACGCUUAGGAUGUUGAGUAGCGACAUACGCAC